AGUGAACGCUGGCGGUAGGCCUAACACAUGCAAGUCGAACGGCAGCACAGUAAGAGCUUGCUCUUACGGGUGGCGAGUGGCGGACGGGUGAGGAAUACAUCGGAAUCUACUUUUUCGUGGGGGAUAACGUAGGGACACUGACGCUAAUACCGCAUACGACCUACGGGUGAAAGCAGGGGAUCUUCGGACCUUGCGCGAUUGAAUGAGCCGAUGUCGGAUUAGCUAGUUGGCGGGGUAAAGGCCCACCAAGGCGACGAUGCGUAGCUGGUCUGAGAGGAUGAUCAGCCACACUGGAACUGAGACACGGUCCAGACUCCUACGGGAGGCAGCAGUGGGGAAUAUUGGACAAUGGGCGCAAGCCUGAUCCAGCCAUACCGCGUGGGUGAAGAAGGCCUUCGGGUUGUAAAGCCCUUUUGUUGGGAAAGAAAAGCAGCAGGUUAAUACCCCGCUGUUCUGACGGUACCCAAAGAAUAAGCACCGGCUAACUUCGUG
rnacentral:rRNA from 1 species